rnacentral:lncRNA from 1 species
CCCGCGCAGCGGCGCGGAGCGCGGCGCGAUGAGCGCGGGCAGCGGCAGCGGCGCCGCCGGCGCGGCGGGCACCGCCACCUCCGCGCUGUGCCUGCUGCUCUCGCUCACCGCCGUGGCCGUGUGCCUGCUGCUGGGCGCCAAGACGGCCGAGCUGCAGGGCCGGCUGGCCGCGCUGGAGGAGCGGGGCGCCGCCGGGCACGGGCCGCUGCUGGACGCGCUGCAGCCCCGCGUGGAGCAGCUGUUCCGCGAGAAACUCGGCGAGGGCCUGGCGAAGCUGCGCACGGCGCGGGAGGCGCCCCCGGACUGCGUGUGCCCCCCAGGGCCCCCGGGGCGGCGAGGGAAGCCCGGCCGGCGCGGAGAACCCGGUAAGCAUCACCUGCCCUGGCACCGGGGUGGCAUUGGGGUGGCAUUGGGGUGGCAGCCUUUGGGUAA